GUCCCUGUAGCGCAAUGAAUAGCGCGUUGGAUUUCUUAUUCAAAGGUCGCGGGCUCGAUUCCAGCCAGGGAUA